rnacentral:lncRNA from 1 species
UAUGCUAAAAUUAAAGAUGGGUUAUUCUAAUUGGUGCUGUCUUUCAGACUGUGCAGAACUUUGAACUUCACAACAAUCACCAGGCUCUGGAGACACUCCAGCAGGGCAGCAUGGAGUUUGUGGAGGACAUGGCCCAAUUGGAAGCCCUUGUGGGGAAUCCAGUGAUGAAGAAGAAAUACCAGCAGCAGCUGACAGUCUUUAUUGUAGGCUACCAAGAGGCGUGUUUACAGAGGACUUUUAUCCUCUCCCAGCUCAAUGAGAAUGCUAAAGCUGGAGAAGAAGAGAGCUUGUCUCCCUCUACUGAGCCAGAACCACAGCUGGAUUUGGAUGAUGUUGCCUUCAAGGUAGGCAACAACAUCAACAUGUCCCUUACGAUUUAUAUCACAG